rnacentral:rRNA from 1 species
GACGAACGCUGGCGGCGUGCCUAAUACAUGCAAGUUGAGCGAUGAAGCUUGGUGCUUGCACCAAUUUGAAGAGCAGCGAACGGGUGAGUAACGCGUGGGGAAUCUGCCUUUGAGCGGGGGACAACAUUUGGAAACGAAUGCUAAUACCGCAUAACAACUUUAAACAUAAGUUUUAAGUUUGAAAGAUGCAAUUGCAUCACUCAAAGAUGAUCCCGCGUUGUAUUAGCUAGUUGGUGAGGUAAAGGCUCACCAAGGCGAUGAUACAUAGCCGACCUGAGAGGGUGAUCGGCCACAUUGGGACUGAGACACGGCCCAAACUCCUACGGGAGGCAGCAGUAGGGAAUCUUCGGCAAUUGACGAAAGUCUGACCGAGCAACGCCGCGUGAGUGAAGAAGGUUUUCGGAUCGUAAAACUCUGUUGGUAGAGAAGAACGUUGGUGAGAGUGGAAAGCUCAUCAAGUGACGGUAACUACCCAGAAAGGGACGGCUAACUACGUG